rnacentral:rRNA from 1 species
UACGUAGGGUGCAAGCGUUGUCCGGAAUUAUUGGGCGUAAAGAGCUCGUAGGCGGUCUGUCGCGUCUGCUGUGAAAACUCAGGGCUUAACCCUGAGCUUGCAGUGGGUACGGGCAGACUAGAGUGCGGUAGGGGAGACUGGAAUUCCCGGUGUAGCGGUGAAAUGCGCAGAUAUCGGGAGGAACACCCGUAGCGAAGGCGGCACUCUGGGCCGGAACUGACGCUGAGGAGCGAAAGCGUGGGGAGCAAACAGG